rnacentral:rRNA from 1 species
ACGCACGCUGGCGGCAGGCCUAACACCUGCCAGUCGCGCGCGCCCUUCGGGGUGAGCGGCGGACGGGUGAGUAACGCGUGGGAACGUGCCCUUUUCUACGGAAUAGCCUCGGGAAACUGAGAGUAAUACCGUAUACGCCCUUUGGGGGAAAGAUUUAUCGGAAAAGGAUCGGCCCGCGUUGGAUUAGGUAGUUGGUGGGGUAAUGGCCUACCAAGCCGACGAUCCAUAGCUGGUUUGAGAGGAUGAUCAGCCACACUGGGACUGAGACACGGCCCAGACUCCUACGGGAGGCAGCAGUGGGGAAUCUUAGACAAUGGGGGCAACCCUGAUCUAGUCAUGCCGCGUGAGUGAUGAAGGCCUUAGGGUUGUAAAGCUCUUUCAGCUGGGAAGAUAAUGACGGUACCAGCAGAAGAAGCCCCGGCUAACUCCGUG